UACGUAGGGGGCGAGCGUUGUCCGGAUUUAUUGGGCGUAAAGAGCUCGUAGGCGGUUUGGUAAGUCGGGUGUGAAAUCUCCACGCUCAACGUGGAGGGGCCACUCGAUACUGCCAUGACUCGCGUCCGGUAGAGGAGUGUGGAAUUCCCGGUGUAGCGGUGAAAUGCGCAGAUAUCGGGAGGAACACCCGUAGCGAAGGCGGCACUCUGGGCCGGAACUGACGCUGAGGAGCGAAAGCGUGGGGAGCAAACAGG
rnacentral:rRNA from 1 species